UACGUAGGGUGCGAGCGUUGCCCGGAUUUAUUGGGCGUAAAGGGCGCGUAGGCGGUGAGAUGCGUCCGUUGUGAAAUCGCCCGGCUCAACUGGGCGGGGUCAGCGGAUACGGUCUCACUCGAGCAAGCUAGGGGGCAAUGGAAUUCCCGGUGUAGUGGUGGAAUGCGUAGAGAUCGGGAAGAACAUCGGUGGCGAAAGCGCUCUACUGGACUGCAACUGACACUCAGGGACGAAAGCUAGGGGAGCGAAUGGG
rnacentral:rRNA from 1 species